UCCCACAAUCAUUUCUAAAAUUCUAAUGGCUCUUAACCUUAUGAAAUCAUGUGCAAAAUUAUGCCCCAAAACCACAACCCUAACUCCGGCAACUCCGGUACACCUCCGGCGAUUUCAAAUCCACUUUAACAUCCUCAACAGUAACAACACGACAUCGUUUUCACCUAACAGAACGUCGUCGUUCCGUUGCGCCACCGGAGACAAUAAUACUCCUCCGGUUUCUAGCUCCGGCAAUGACGGUGGAAGAGAACUGGUGGCGAUGUCCGACGAGAAACUGUUGAGUCAGUGUGAGAUGGACACGUAUAAAUCCUCCGGUCCCGGUGGUCAACACCGUAACAAGCGCGAGAGUGCGGUUCGGAUUAAGCAUAUUCCUACUGGCAUUGUUGCUCAGGCAUCUGAAGAUAGAUCACAGCACAAAAACCGUGCAUCUGCCUUAGCUCGGUUGCGCAGUCUGCUAGCUCUUAAAGUCAGGAGCACUAUAGAUCUUGAAACAUAUACACCUCCUCCCGAGCUUCUUCAAAUACUUCCAGCAAAGUCGACUAUCAGAGGAUCAGAAAACGGGCCUCAAAUUGGGCCUAAUAACCCAAAAUUUGCUUUGGGAAUGCAAGCUUUAUUAGAUCUUAUUUUUGCCGUAGAAGGUUCGGUAUCUGAUGCUGCAAAGAAACUAGGCUUAAGCACAGGAGCACUUUCACGUCUGAUUUUAUCUGAUGAUUCUCUUCGACAGGCGGUUAAUGAGUUCCGAGCAUCUAAGGGCAUGAAACCUCUCAAAUAGUACAAGUCAGAAUUUAACUUGCAAAGAGGUAAAUAGUUGCUACCCUGAUACUGUUAUAAUUUGCAAGGUUGAUUAGGUACAGGGGCAUCACUUCGCGUGUAUUUUUGGACGAUGACACCUAUAAAAAAUAAAAAUACUCUUCCCUGACCGGACUCGUGAGAUUACUGUAAAUUGAGUUAGCAGAUAUCCGAAGAUCGAAACAUGGUGAGUUGGUGACGCCCGCAAAGAAUCCAUACAGGCGUUAGUAGACACAAUUGUUUUUGUUUCUUUAAAUUCAUGAAUACUAUAGCAUAUGUUUUGUUAAUGUAAAUCUAUUGACCUAUUCUUUUAUAUGUUAAAACAAACCUUUUUUUUA